GAACUUAUGUUUUCUGAUUAUAUGAUAUGAUAGUCAUAUGUCCUUUUGUCAGACCAUUAGCUAAUAUCACUUGCAUUAUUUUUUUAUUAUCAUUGUUGUAACUUUACUUCAAAACCAAAUUCUAGUGCUAGAUGUGUACUUUUAGAAAAGCAAAUGCUACAAUUAGAUAAUAUGGCACUGGCACGUAUUGAUAAUUUCUAUUCUGUCAUGUGUCAAGCUGGUUUUGAAAAGUUUUGUAGUAAAUGGUGCUUGUCUUCUUUUGGGGUUUUUGUCUUGAAUUUUUUAGGAGUUGAAGAAGCUUCUUUACUGUGUUCAAGGUGCCAUCAGAUGGAGAGAGGAGGGUGGGGCUAAAUUUAAGCUUGUGGAAAUCGUCCUCCCCUCCUCCUUCCAACUGAAAUAAAAAAUAAAAAUAAAUAAAU
rnacentral:misc_RNA from 1 species